AGGGUGUUAUGAAUGGCUUGGGAUUUGAGGGAAAGACAAUGACUUUGUAAACCUUCCAUUUCAUUCGGUAAUGUGGCUCAUGUGACGGUGCCGCCUGAGGGACCUUGGCAACAGGCGCCAGGCCGCACCAUUCACUCUUCCACCACCAUGGAAGACUCACUUACUAUCGUGUCCUGCACAGCCAAGCAAAAUAUAUUAUAUAUAACAUAAAUAAGAGAGAGAGAGAGAGAGAGAGAGAGAGAGAGAGAGAGAGAGAGAGAGAGAGAGAGAGAGAGAGAGAGAGAGAGAGAGAGAGGGUGGGGGGUGGGUAGCGAGCUGCUCUGAGGAGAGUGAUAGGGUCAUGUGGCAGAAGCGUGGCUCAGGGGAGCCGUGCCUAAAGGCUCAAGUUAGAUUCGAUAGACUAUAGUGAAGCAUGAAAAGCACAAAGUUGGCCUUCGAAGUAGAAAAAAGCAAGUUUUUCAGAUGUCUUGCAUGAAGACCAUCUUGUUAAAAUUGGAAAAUCAUUAUUUUGGAAGUUAGAAACCUUUGCUAGAAUCCUGGUCAAACUAAAGAAUGCAAGAAAAUUGACAUUGCAUGUACUCCAAAUGCAAUGCAUUGGAGGAAAGGGGAAGCUUGCAUCCAUCUGCCAGAUUAGACUGUUGAUGACAAUAUGGAAUACCACGUACAUAAUACAUUUUGCAUGAAUGAUUAGUUGGUCAUCACUACUGCUACAGUCCCCGCUGUGCGUGUGGGUGUGAGGGAAUGUAGAGUAGAGUGCGAGUUUUCGUUACUACUAAUCUAUUUGCUCGUUACAAUGUACAUUUGUGUUCCUGUAUUUGACCUGGUUGGGGUAUCCAAGAAUUGAGCCCAUGCAUAUGUUGUCAUACAGGCAGUCCUACUCAUCGGAGAGUUGGAAUGUAGCCUCAUACCCUUCCUGCUGGCAAGCAAGGAGCAACUGGUACUUGCACUGUUCCCUAUUCUCUUCUAAUUCGUGAAGGAUAUGUGCUCAAAAUGUGUCGGCCAUGCCCAACAUUGAUACCUGGGACUUCCAAAUUGAGAACUAAGAUUACAAAUCAUUGCACCAUUUGAUAUGUGUAUACAUGCCUGUGUGUGUGUGUGUGUGUGUGUGUGUGUGUACCAUUUUUGAACAUUGUUAAGCCUGGAACCUUUUUAUCCAAUUUCUUCUGCCAGUUUCUCUAAAUUUUUAAAGGCAUUGCAUAUAGGUUACUGAUGUUGCUUUUAAUUGCAACUUUUGCUCUUUGUCUAACUAUUAUUUUUUAGUACGAACUCUGAAUUGUAAAAACUUGGAGUUACAAGGUCUUGGGGUUGCCACAAUAUGCCUUGUGUGGAAGCUCAGGCAGUGUGAUGCUUUCCAAUAGUCCCUCUCAUCUGGGUAUCCCUUGAGAUCAGUGUUGGAGGCUGGUCAAAACAUAUUUCAAAGCUAAUGUCUUGGUGAAGGAAUAGGCUACAUGAAUCAAAAAGGGGACAUGGGAAACUUUAAUAAAUCAUUAGAGAAGAAACAGGUGACAGGAACUCUACAACCAUUGACACCAUUCAAUUCUAUUCUAUUUUAGCAUAUACCUAUUAGGUUUGAAGACAACACAGGGCUGUCAAAAGACAUGAUCUUAAUGGCUUUAGGUUUCUGGGAUAGUAUUAGGAGUCACGUAUUUAUUCUUUCGUGCUUUAAUCGUUAGCAGUUCCAUUAAGAGUUCUGUGGGGGCCGGAUGACUCAGUGGGUUUGGUACUUGGAAUGUGACCGAGAGGUUACAAGGUCAAUCCCCGCUCACUGCGUCUUCUCUUGUUAUCCUAGUUGAGCUUUAUGGUCUUAUCUGCCUAGCUUUGGGGAUUCUUUACUCACUGUUUGCCACCACUCGUCAAAAAUUUCUUGAUGGUAUCCUCACAGAAGCUCCCCUAACAUACACUAGCUUUUUUUUACAUUAACCCUUUUGCAUCCCCCUCCUUGACCCCUUGAUGAGACAGUAUAUAUCUGUGACAAAGCUCCUUGGCUAAACUUCUAUCACCCAUGGAUGGACUAUUUUUUUUACCUGCAGAAACACAUGCAUCUCUGCUACAUAAUUCUUCAGUCCCAAACAUCAAUUAUUGACGAAUAUUAACCAUAGUCUCUUACAUGUCACUAAAAAGGUAUGAUGAGUGCCAAACAAGUUCUAUUUUCACUUUCACUGUUUUUAUCACAAUGUGCAUUCAUGUUAACUGUGUAUGUGAUUGUGGACAAGUAAAUAGCACCCCAUUGAGAGCAUUUUUUACAUAUGGAAAAUAAUUUUAACCUGAAAGUAUUUGUCCAGGCUCAUUGUGCGCGCGUGUGUGUGUGUGUGUGUGUGUGUGUGAAUAUGACUUUUUAUAACCUGGUAAGUUCUUAUAAGGUAGAUCUAUGCUGUGUUUACCUGCCCCUCAGUUGUGUAAUGGGUCUGCACCUGUCACCUCCAGAGUCCAGUUUUACUGAUAAGGGUUGAGGACUAUAUUUGUAAAAAAAUGUGUAUUUUACUGCCCAUAAAAGAUAAGUAUAUUAUAUGUAUAACUACAAAAUAAAAACCCGAAUAAUUGGCAAAAAUUGAAGUGGCUUAAAUUACUGGUACCGAUAAUUAAUAAAAAGUGUUUUCAUGUUGUACUUUCGAUGAUUCUAAACCUGAAAGGUUACAGUUUGUUCUGAUUCCUUUUAUAAAAGCUGACGAGUACAAAUGCAACCGUGAAAAUUAUUCACUUGCCCAGAGUAUGUCAAUUUCCCUUAUAAGCCUGAAUGUUUCCUUUGAGAAACAGCAAGGUAAAGGUACAGUUGGGGGCAUGUGUCUUUGAGAAGAGGUAAGGUAAAGGUACAGCUGGGUCAUGUGUCCUUGAGAAGAGGUAAGGUAAAGGUACAGUUGGGGUAUGUGUCCUUGAGAAGAGGUAAGGUAAAGGUACAGUUGGGGUAUGUGUCCUUGAGAAGAGGUAAGGUAAAGGUACAGUUGGGGUAUGUGUCCUUGAGAAGAGGUAAGGUAAAGGUACAGUUGGGGCAUGUGUCCUUGAGAAGAGGUAAGGUAAAGGUACAGUUGGGGUAUGUGUCCUUGAGAAGAGGUAAGGUAAAGGUGUAGUGCGGCGACGGCCUGAUGAACGAGCCUCCCAUAACCCACUUAGCCAGGGGGGUACCUCUUUGGCCGACUCGGUAAGGAGUGGCUCUCCCGUCACGCUGGUCGCGGGUUCAAUCCCAGGCAGCCGGGGAAUACCCUCACUUUGAUUAAUUUCUCGUGUUAUUUCGAUACACGCAGAGGCCGUGUUGAGAAAUAGGAAGGAUGGAAAAAUAAGCUCGUCGGGGCAUUACGAAGGUACAGUUGGGGACACAGGCCAUAGCAGCGUGUGGACUCGGUGGUCAUCUCCAUCAUUGGCCCUUGAUGCCGUGGUGGGUCAGACCCAUUGCCCUGGACUAAGGGCAAGUGUGGCAUCUGGGUUACCAUAAUUUAUCUUCCCUAGGUAUCCAUUUACUGACCAACCCGAGAGGGAUGACAAUUGACAAACAGCUGGGUGAGCUGUGAGCCGUCUGCCUGCGCCGGGAUUGUAACCCGGGCCCAUAUGUUUACAGGGUGCUCGAGUGGUCAUCACGCGGACGUGGUGAUACAGAGAUUCACAUUCAAGUCCUGCUGCAACUAAGUGACAAUUUUCAGUGAUCACCGAGUGAGCAAAGACAACCCAUAUGCUGUUGUGGCUAUCACCUAUUAACCCUGACUUCAGUCUGCCAUUAAGAGCUUGGUUGACAUCGAAGGGAGCUGUUCCGCCAUUUAAGAGGGCUAGAUCACCCAAUGAGGAGUCCAUGGUUGCCAUCUGAGUGAGGUUAGGUUACUAUUCACGUGGUUACAUCUUGUCAAUAUCAUUAAGUGGGUAAUUAUGUAGUCUCCGUGGUGUCAAAUGCAACAACAAAAGGCUACAGGGCUACCCUUGAAACAAAAAGAGAAAUAUAGGCUACAGACAGGCUAGUAAGGUAUACGUGCAGGAACACAUUAUAUAGUGCCCAUGUCAAACAAUCUUAUCUAACCACGGUGACUUAACUACUAAUACAGGC